GACGAACGCUGGCGGCGUGCUUAACACAUGCAAGUCGAACGAAGUGGCGAACGGGUGAGUAACGCGUAAUCAACCUGCCCUUCAGAGGGGGACAACAGUUGGAAACGACUGCUAAUACCGCAUACUGAAUGAGGGGAUUGCGUCUGAUCAGCUAAUGUGAGGGGUAACGGCCCACCAAGGCGAUGAUGAGUAGCCGGUGUGAGAGGAUGAACGGCCACAGUGGGACUGAGAUACGGCGCAGACUCCUACGGGAGGCAGCAGUGGGGAAUCUGCCGCAAGGGACGAAAGUCUGACGGAGCAACGCCGCGGGAGUGAUGACGGCCUUCGGGUUGUAAAGCUCUGUUAAUCGGGACGCGGUACCGGAAUAGAAAGCCACGGCUAACUACAUGCCAGCCGCCGCGGUAAUAC
rnacentral:rRNA from 1 species